GGACUGUGACGAUUGAUAUCAUUGGUCUCGUUCGGCAUAAUGGCAUGCUAUGCUUGCCUUGAUGACCAUCCUGAUAUAUCACCACCCAUAUUCUGAGUCC
rnacentral:snoRNA from 9 species